GACGAACGCUGGCGGCGUGCUUAACACAUGCAAGUCGAACGAGUGGCGAACGGGUGAGUAACUCGUGAGUAACCUGCCCCUUCUUCUGGAUAACUGCUUGAAAGGGUAGCUAAUACGGGAUAGUGGGGGAUGGGCUCGCGGCCUAUCAGGUUGUUGGUGGGGUGAUGGCCUACCAAGGCGGUGACGGGUGGCCGGCCUGAGAGGGUGGACGGCCACACGGGGACGGAGACACGGCCCGGACUCGGAGGGGAGGCAGCGGGGGGGAAUAUUGUGGAAUGGUGGCAAGCCUGAUGAAGCGACGCCGCGGGAGGGAUGGAGGCCUUCGGGUUGUAAACCUCUUUGGCCAGGGAAGCGGUAGCGGGAUAAGAAGCGCCGGCUACCUACGUGCCAGCAGCCGCGGUAAUA
rnacentral:rRNA from 1 species